rnacentral:lncRNA from 1 species
AAAACUACUAAAAACUACCGGAACCUGCCACUUUCACCAUAGUACAUUUUUUAAAGUUAGCAAUUGCCUUCUGGAGAUGGGGCUUUUAUAGCAUUGAAGUGACAGGAUUUUGACUGGAGAACUUGUCUUUGGAUUUCUGGUCCCUCUGUAGAAGACUGAUUUACAUUAGUAGCCUAUCUUAACAAGUCAUGAUACAAAAGACUGAAGAGUUCAUAGGAACUUUUUCAUCCCUCCACUGGGCCCUCUAUAACAUACUGAGCUAGAUGAGUAAGCUGGCUGGGUGGGAACAUCUUUGGAAAGUUCAGCUUUUCUUUCUAAACAAGGGCAAAGGGUAUCUUAUUCCGGCUUUAAACUGGAACUUGGAAACCAGGUGGUAGUUUUUGCAGCUCAUGACUUUUUUGGGGUAUUUCUGUCAUCUUUUGUAAAAUGGGGUUAGUAUGUUCUUUUCUGGUGGACACUGAAGCUAAACUACUUUACUGUGAGGGUGACUGAGCACUGGAAGAGGUUGCCCAGAGAGGUGGUGGAGUCUCCUUCGCUGGAGAUAUUCAAAACCUGCCGGGACAUGAUCCUGGGCAAUGUGCUCUAGAGGACCCUGCUUGAGCAAGGGGGUUGGACUACGUGAUCUCUAGAGGUCCCUUCCAACCUCGGCCCUUCUGUAAUUCUGUAAAGGCAUUGACUUCGUUUUGGUGUGUUGUUAUCAUGUGCAAGUUUACGAUUAAGCUGGCAGUAUAUUUCAUAUGACUUUGACCAACCAGGAACUGUCUAACUCGAACAGGGAAGUGAAUUUGUUUGCAGAGCUUGACAGCUGUAGCAAGGGUAAAGGCUGGGGGUUAAAGAAGAGGAAGGCUUGAAACUGGAAGAAAACUAGAACCGUAUUAUCUUUAUAAUCAAACCUUUAUAUCCUUUGAAACCUGCUGAUAGCCAUGUCUGAGACAAGCAGAAAUGCAUGAACAGGAGGAGCUCUUCGCUUAGUGUCACCUGCCUUCCACUGUUUUGUGCUGAAAAUGCUGCUCUAAAAACGUCUAUUUGGAAGUCACUGUCAUGGGUCUUUCACACUCAGAGGUAAGGGCUGCUGUGGUGUGGAUACAAAGUGUUGUGGGUGUGCCGAUGAUAGUACAAAGCUAUGUUUGAAUCUAUAAAU